rnacentral:rRNA from 1 species
AUUAAACGCUGGCGGCAUGCCUUACACAUGCAAGUCGAACGGUAGCGCGGGGCAACCUGGCGACGAGUGGCGAACGGGUGAGUAAAGCAUCGGAACGUGCCCUGGAAUGGGGGAUAACGUAGCGAAAGUUACGCUAAUACCGCAUAUUCUGUGAGCAGGAAAGCAGGGGAUCGCAAGACCUUGCGUUCUGGGAGCGGCCGAUGUCGGAUUAGCUAGUUGGUGGGGUAAAAGCCUACCAAGGCGACGAUCCGUAGCGGGUCUGAGAGGAUGAUCCGCCACACUGGGACUGAGACACGGCCCAGACUCCUACGGGAGGCAGCAGUGGGGAAUUUUGGACAAUGGGCGGAAGCCUGAUCCAGCCAUGCCGCGUGAGUGAAGAAGGCCUUGGUUGUAAAGCUCUUCGUGGG